AGUGAACGCUGGCGGUAGGCCUAACACAUGCCAGUCGAACGGCAGCACAGUAAGAGCUUGCUCUUACGGGUGGCGAGUGGCGGACGGGUGAGGAAUACAUCGGAAUCUACUUUUUCGUGGGGGAUAACGUAGGGAAACUUACGCUAAUACCGCAUACGACCUACGGGUGAAAGCAGGGGAUCUUCGUACCUUGCGCGAUUGAAUGAGCCGAUGUCGGAUUAGCUAGUUGGCGGGGUAAAGGCCCACCAAGGCGACGAUCCGUAGCUGGUCUGAGAGGAUGAUCAGCCACACUGGAACUGAGACACGGUCCAGACUCCUACGGGAGGCAGCAGUGGGGAAUAUUGGACAAUGGGCGCAAGCCUGAUCCAGCCAUACCGCGUGGGUGAAGAAGGCCUUCGGGUUGUAAAGCCCUUUUGUUGGGAAAGAAAAGCAGCAGGUUAAUACCCCGCUGUUCUGACGGUACCCAAAGAAUAAGCACCGGCUAACUUCGUG
rnacentral:rRNA from 1 species